AGGAGCUGAUCUGUUCCUGAUCUCUAUAGAAACUCAAACUUCCUCCAUCAGUUCAGUUCAACUCUCCAACAGUAACUCUGAUCAACAUGGAUUAUUAUGGUCUGUUUCUGCUCAUCGUCUCUCUGCUAACAGGUGUCAGAUGUGAUGAACUCAGACCCAUGAAGAUCGAACUGUUCAGCUUCGAAAGCAGCUCUGUGAAUCUGUCCUACAGUUUAUCCAGAGAAGUUCGAAGCAACGACUAUUUCUACUGGUACCGUCAGAACCCAGGAGAACCUCCAGAGGUUCUGAUCUCCCACUCUGCUUCAGGAGCUGAAGGGGUUAAAAAAGUUUCUGAGCUGAAGAUUGACGUGAGGAAAACCCAGAUGGACCUGCUGAUCUCCUCUGCUGCAGUGACAGAUUCUGCUGUGUACUACUGCGCUCUGCAGCCCACAGUGACAGGAAACACCAGAACCCUGUACAAGAACCUGCAGUACUCCACAGCAGCCACCAGAGGGCCUCACUCACAUGUUUUCGUUCUUUCUUGAUUUAACAGAGAAUA